GAUGAACGCUAGCGGGAGGCCUAACACAUGCAAGCCGAGCGGUAUUGUUUCUUCGGAAAUGAGAGAGCGGCGUACGGGUGCGUAACACGUGUGCAACCUGCCUUUAUCUGGGGGAUAGCCUUUCGAAAGGAAGAUUAAUACUCCAUAAUAUAUUGAACGGCAUCGUUUAAUAUUGAAAGCUCCGGCGGAUAGAGAUGGGCACGCGCAAGAUUAGCUAGUUGGUGAGGUAACGGCUCACCAAGGCGAUGAUCUUUAGGGGGCCUGAGAGGGUGAUCCCCCACACUGGUACUGAGACACGGACCAGACUCCUACGGGAGGCAGCAGUGAGGAAUAUUGGUCAAUGGGUGCAAGCCUGAACCAGCCAUCCCGCGUGAAGGACGACUGCCCUAUGGGUUGUAAACUUCUUUUGUAUAGGGAUAAACCUACCCUCGUGAAGGUAGCUGAAGGUACUAUACGAAUAAGCACCGGCUAACUCCGUG
rnacentral:rRNA from 1 species